rnacentral:rRNA from 1 species
GACGAACGCUGGCGGCAUGCCUAACACAUGCAAGUCGAACGAGAGCUUCGGCUCUAGUGGCGCACGGGUGCGUAACGCGUGGGAAUCUGCCCUUGGGUUCGGAAUAACAGUUGGAAACGACUGCUAAUACCGGAUGAUAUCGCGAGAUCAAAGAUUUAUCGCCCGAGGAUGAGCCCGCGUCGGAUUAGCUAGUUGGUGGGGUAAAGGCCUACCAAGGCGACGAUCCGUAGCUGGUCUGAGAGGAUGAUCAGACACACUGGGACUGAGACACGGCCCAGACUCCUGCGGGAGGCAGCAGUGGGGAAUAUUGGAAAAUGGGCGCAAGCCUGAUCCAGCAAUGCCGCGUGAGUGAUGAAGGCCUUAGGGUUGUAAAGCUCUUUUACCCGGGAAGAUAAUGACUGUACCGGGAGAAUAAGCCCCGGCUAACUCCGUGCCAGCCGCCGCGGUAA